CCUACGGGAGGCAGCAGUCGGGAAUUUUGGGCAAUGGGCGAAAGCCUGACCCAGCAACGCCGCGUGAAGGAUGAAGUAUUUCGGUAUGUAAACUUCGAAAGAAUGGGAAGAAUAAAUGACGGUACCAUUUAUAAGCUCCGGCUAACUACGUGCCAGCAGCCGCGGUAAUACGUAGGGAGCAAGCGUUGUUCGGAUUUACUGGGCGUAAAGGGCGCGUAGGCGGCGCGGUAAGUCACUUGUGAAAUCUCUGAGCUUAACUCAGAACGGCCAAGUGAUACUGCAGUGCUAGAGUGCAGAAAGGGCAAUCGGAAUUCUUGGUGUAGCGGUGAAAUGCGUAGAUAUCAAGAGGAACACCUGAGGCGAAGGCGGGUUGCUAGGCUGACACUGACGCUGAGGCGCGAAAGCCAGGGGAGCAAACGGGAUUAGAUACCCCUGUAGUC
rnacentral:rRNA from 1 species